rnacentral:rRNA from 1 species
AUUGAACGCUGGCGGCACGCCUAACACAUGCAAGUCGAGCGGUAACAUGGUUAGUAGCAAUACUAGUUGAUGACGAGCGGCGGACGGGUGAGUAAAACGUAGGAACCUGCCCUUAAGCGGGGGAUAACUAAGGGAAACUUUAGCUAAUACCGCAUACACUCGAGAGAGGAAAGCUGCCGCGAGGUGGCACUUGAGGAGGGGCCUGCGUCAGAUUAGCUAGUUGGUAGGGUAAGAGCCUACCAAGGCAAUGAUCUGUAACUGGUCUGAGAGGACGACCAGUCACACUGGGACUGGGACACGGCCCAGGCUCCUACGGGAGGCAGCAGUGGGGAAUAUUGGACAAUGGGGGCAACCCUGAUCCAGCGAUGCCGCGUGGGUGAAGAAGGCCUUCGGGUUGUAAAGCCCUUUAGGUCGGGACGAAGGUUAUUAACGGAUAAUGUUAGUAACUUGACGGUACCGACAGAAUAAGCACCGGCAAACUCUGUGCCAGCAGCCGCCGUAA